rnacentral:rRNA from 1 species
GAGAACCAUUCGAUCCGUAAGGACCGGAUGGGGAAACCGGCGAACGGGUGCGUAACACGUGAGGAACCUGCCCCGAAGACCGGGAUAGCCCGAGGAAACUCGGAUUAAUACCGGAUACCCUCUUUGGACCACAUGGUCUGCUGAGGAAAUGGUCCGCCGCUUCGGGAUGGCCUCGCGGCCUACCAGCUUGUUGGUGAGGUAACGGCUCACCAAGGCAAAGACGGGUAGCUGGUCUGAGAGGACGAUCAGCCACACUGGGACUGAGACACGGCCCAGACUCCUACGGGAGGCAGCAGCAGGGAAUAUUGCACAAUGGGCGAAAGCCUGAUGCAGCGACACCGCGUGCGGGAUGAAGGCCCUCGGGUUGUAAACCGCUUUCAGGAGGGACGAAAAUGACGGUACCUCCAGAAGAAGGCCCGGCCAACUACGUGCCAGCAGCCGCGGUAAUACGUAGGGGCCAAACGUUGUCCGGAUUUAUUGGGCGUAAAGGGCUCGUAGGCGGUUCAACAAGUCGAUCGUGAAAGCCCGGGGCUCAACCCCGGGACGCCGGUCGAAACUGUUGUGACUAGGGUCCGGUAGAGGUGAGUGGAAUUCUCGGUGUAGCGGUGGAAUGCGCAGAUAUCGAGAGGAACACCAGUUGCGAAGGCGGCU